UUAUGGGUGGUUAAUGAGGUAAUUACAGCUGGUUAUGAGGUGAUUACGGGUGGUUAAUGAGGUAAUUAGAGCUGGUUAAUGAGGUGAUUACAGGUGGUUAGUUGAUAUGGGUGUUUAAUGAGGUGACUAUGGGUGUUUAAUUAGGUAACUGGGUAGUUAAUGAGGUGAUUAUGGGUGGUUAACAAGGUGACUAUGGGUGUUUAAUUAGAGAACUCUGGGUAGUUAAUGAGGUGAUUACGGGUGGUUAACGAGGUGACUCUGGGUGGUCAGUUAGUCGCUUAGGGGUGGUUAACGAGGUGACUAUGGGUGUUUAAUUAGGUAACUCUGGGUAGUUAAUGAGGUGAUUAUGGGUGGUUAACGAGGUGACUCUGGGUGGGGGUUAAUGAGGUGAUUAUGGGUGGUUAACGAGGAGACUCUGGGUGGUCAGUUAGUCGAUUAGGGGUGGUUAAUGAGGUGACUAUGGAUGUUUAAUUAGGUAACUGGGUAGUUAAUGAGGUGAUUAUGGGUGGUUAACGAGGUGACUCUGAGUGGUUCAUUAGUCAAUUAGGGGUGGUUACUCGAUUAUGGGUGGUUAAUGAGGUGACUAUGGGUGUUUAAUUAUGUAACUAUGGCUAGUUAAUGAGGUGAUUAUGGGUGGUUAAUGAGGUGACUCUGGGUGGUUCAUUAGUCAAUUAGGGGUGGUUAGUUGAUUACGGGUGGUUAAUGAGGUGACUCUGGGUAUUUAACGAGGUGACUCUGGGUGGUCAGUUAGUCGCUUAGGG